rnacentral:tRNA from 1 species
GGCCCCUUAGCUCAAUGGAUAGAGCAGCUGACUUCUAAUCAGCAGGUUCGGGGUUCGAGUCCUCGAGGGGUCGCCA